UUAAUUCUAUUGGUUACCAUAACUUUCUCAGGUUUCUUGAUGGACCUGUCGAAGCGAGUGUCGUUGUGGUCGGUUGAAGAAGUGUUGGAGUGGCUGCAGGAUCAGCACCCGACCCUCAUGGGCACGCUCCAGAAGGCCAUAAUUAAACACGCCAUAUCAGGCCGUGUGUUGCUGAGAUUAAAGGACCAUCACCUGGAGCUCCUCGGGGUGGAGUCUGAGGAGCUGCAGCAGGACAUCUUGCAGGACCUCCUCCUCCUCAGAGUGCAAGAAGAAAUCACUGAACUCAACAACCUCUGCUCCGGUGAGAAUCUUCAGCGUGUAGUUGAGCGCCAGACUCAUUAUAUAGUAGUAGAUUGUUAG
rnacentral:lncRNA from 1 species